UGCUUGAAAGCUCCAAUCCUCUUAGACAGGGUGGCUAUCUCACUCUUCAAUCCUAAUAGCUCAGUCCGCACUAAAGAAGAGGUUUGAGAUAGGUUUGCUUGAGGUGCCACUUGGUGCUCCUUCUCUAUCCUCAAGCCAUCCAAAACAAGCUUUGCAAUCCUUUUCAACUGAUCAUUGUCCAACAGCAUGGAGGAGGACUGAGUUGGUUGAGAUGCUCUGAUAGGUGUCACUGGAGGUGUGGGUGCUGCUAUUGAGGAUGUUUGUGCCUCUACUACUAAUGGAGGAGA
rnacentral:lncRNA from 1 species